GUUGUGUAGUGUGUAGUGUUGUGUUGUGUGUAAUAGUGUUGUGUAGUGUUGUGUAGUGUGUAGUGUUGUGUUGUGUGUAAUAGUGUUGUGUAGUGUUGUGUAGUGUGUUGUGUAGUGUUGUGUAGUGUUGUGUAGUGUGUAGUGUUGUGUUGUGUGUAAUAGUGUUGUGUAGUGUUGUGUAGUGUGUAGUGUUGUGUAGUGUGUAAUAGUGUUGUGUAGUGUGUAGUGUUGUGUUGUGUGUAAUAGUGUUGUGUAGUGUUGUGUAGUGUGUAGUGUUGUGUAGUGUGUAAUAGUGUUGUGUAGUGUGUAGUGUUGUGUUGUGUGUAAUAGUGUUGUGUAGUGUUGUGUAGUGUGUAGUGUUGUGUAGUGUGUAAUAGUGUUGUGUAGUGUGUAGUGUUGUGUUGUGUGUAAGUGUUGUGUUUGUUGUGUAGUGUUGUGUUGUGUAGUGUUGUGUAGUGUGUAGUGUUGUGUUGUGUGUAAUAGUGUUGUGUAGUG
ensembl:lncRNA